AGCCGUCAAGUUAGUAUUGAUCAACUAAUUGUCCAGCUACCCGCUCGUGAUAUCGGCUAAUUUUCCACGUCUGUGUGUUAGAUGCUGAUCAAAGAGCCGUGAGGCGGCAAAAAGCAAGAGAUCGUUAUGCAAAUAUGCCGCCUGAGAAGAAAGCAGAACUUAAUGCAAAGAAAAGGCAAGACUAUCAUCGAAAGCAUGCCGAGAAGCGAUCAGUAGCAAUGUCGAAUACACCUCAGUCAGAAGUGUUACAUGUUGGCGGGACCACAAGUUUUAUGGAGACACCUCAGUCUGCCAUGAUCCACGGUGUUGGAUCUGCGGGUUAGACAUAUUUUUUUGGGUGCUUUUAUAUUGGUGCAAAGGGACGAUUAAUGCUGUUUAUUAUCGGUGAUGGGACUGUCAGACUUCCCAUAGCCAGAAGUGUUACAUGUUGACGGGACCACAAGUUUUAUGGAGAUACCUUUUUCUACCAUGAUCCACGGUGUUGGAGCUGCAGGACUGUCAGACUUCCCAGUUUCAGCACUGUUUCAUGAGGAUGCAUCUGCAACUUCUAAUGGGGUUGCUGGUGUUGUGGGAAGUCAGCAAGAAUACGUGCGCCUGGUUCGUCACAAAGCUGCAUUGCCGGAUACACCACAGUCGGCAGUGUUUCAUAUUGAUAGAAUCCCAUCUUUCAUGGAGACACCACAGAUGGGAGUGUCCCCCGUUGCUGGCCUAGCAGGUGAUGGUACCACUAUUUCGCCCAGAAGUGCAAGAAAACAGAAAAAAAAGAUAUGGACCGAAUUAGGUUUGCAACAAUGUCAAAUGAAAAAAAGGCUGGAAAGAAUGCCAAACAAAAGGAAAUAUAUAAUAGAAAAAAUAUGAAGGUGGAAACAUUGGGAAUAAAAAAUUUGACUCUGGUAUUGGUAUUUGGGAACCGGAUGACGAGUUGUUGGCCGCACAAGAAGAGGAGGAUUUGGACUGCAGAGCGCCAGAUUGUGGUCCUGAUCUUGAUGAUUUCGCAGAUGACGAAGCAAGAGUCUAUUAUGCUAAUGACGUCAAGAUAGUUUCAUUCAGGGAACCGGAAGUGGUUAUCUUGAAUAAUGAUCCUUAUGAAAGAGUAUACAAAGAUUUGCCUGCGGGACAUCUUGUGUUGAGGAAAAAUACCAAUAUGCGAGUAUUGCGAUGUUAUAGAGUUACCAAACGAGGGGUUCAAUUUUUGUUGCAGGCAAGAAAAAGUUAAUAUAGUGAGCACACCAAUUCCGCCUGAUCUGUGCCGCCUAUUUACAAGUCAGACCAAUAGAGAUGCCUUGUAUUUCAGAAAAAAAUAUACGGUACUUCAAUUCUCAUUUCUCAUUCACAAGCUUUGGAGCUAAUGUGGACCAUAGAGUCGCUACUGCAGCUGGACUGAGGGUCAGAUGGAAAAUUUGGACGAGUUGAAGACUGAAUUGAACACCAGUAUUUCUGUUCAUCAGAGAAGAUAUAAUGCACCUGCUAUGGACCAGGUUGCGGCUAUCUGGCAGGAUGGAUCUGAUGAAAAAAAUAAAUUUAAACGGAGUAUUAUGGUUUUUCCAAAUUCUGGGGGACCACAAUUUAUACGGGCAUUCCAUGGUUGUUAUGAUCCGUUAGCGUAUCCUAUCCUAUAUCCCGGUGGUGAGACUGGCUGGGAAGACAAGAGUAGACGGAAAUAUACAAAGCGGAAAUCUGAGGAUGCUCCGAAGGGAAAUUCUCAAGCGACAUGUAGAUCGGGUGUUAAACGAAAACAUGUAGAAACAACAAUUCAAGAUAUUUGUGAGGAACAAGGUGACUGUGACGAUAACAUGGAUGAGGACGGUGAAGGAGGAGGUGGUGGAAAACGUUUGCAUGUCAGCACAAGGGAGUAUUACUGCUAUAUGAUGCAGAUCUGGAUUGGAGAUUUUAAUAUAUUCUUUCAUGGUGGGAGGCUUUUUCAACAAUGAAUAGUGAAUAUGUAUGUUAAAAUAGAAAGUAUGCGGUUAGAUUGGUACUCCAAUCUAGAACACCAAAAAAAUUAUUAGAGCAGAUCACUAUCAGGUAUAAUUAAUUAGACUACCCGCAUUUAUCAGUACUCUUAUGAAUUUUUUGAUAUGCGCUAUUUGAUUCGAGCGAAUUUGUUUUCAAUAACAAGGUAUAAUGGACACCCUUGCUGCCGGAGAGCAUAGAGGUUUGAAGGCUGGUAAAUUGGUUGUUUUAUCUAAGAAUUUUUUGGAAGUGAUAGAGAUGUGCAGUGUAGAUUCAUGGAUGCAAUGUCAUUAGUUGCUAAAUAUGGAAAGUUAGAUUACUUUUUAACCAUGACUUGCAACCCAUACUGGCCAGAGAUCACAUAACUUUUGUUGCCUGGGCAGACACCUCAAGGUAGACCAGAUAUUGUGGCGAGGGUUUAUCAUGCAAAACUCAUUGAUUUCCAUAACUUUGUUAUUAAGAAGGGGUUCUUUGGGAAAGUGGUAGCUUGGGCACACGUUACCGAGUUUCAGAAAAGAGGUUUGCCGCAUGAAUAUUCUUGCUUAUAAUGGACAGCAGUUUAAAGCUUAGUGAGCCAGAUGAUUUUGACAACUAUAUUUCAGCAGAACUUCUGGAUGAAAAGAAAUACCCUUUUCUCCACAAACUUGUCUGCAAACAUAUGAUGCAUGGCCCUAGUGGUGUUCUUAACAGAAAUUGUAGUUGCAUGUAGGAUGGUGCUUGUCGUUUCAGAUACCCUAAACAGUUCAGGGAGACCACGGAGCAAGGAAAGGAUGCAUAUCCUAUAUACAGAAGACAGAAUGAUGGUCACAAGUUAUUUGUACGUAAGAAAUGGUUGGAUAAUAAAUGGAUUGUACCAUAUAAUUAUCACAUCAAUGUUGAAGUUUCAAGCAGUAUCAAAUGUUGCAAGUAUCUUUAUAAAUAUGUAUACAAGGGCACGGACUGUGCAUCAUUCGCAAUUGCGAAUCAAGACCAGAAUGGAGAGAUAGAGAUAAAUGAAAUUAAAUAGUACAGGAAGGCACGGUGUAUAACGUCUAUUGAAGCAGUAUACCGGCUCUAUAGGUUCCCAAUGUUUUCCAUGUAUCCCCCUAUUUUACAGAUGCAAGUUCAUCUUCCUGGCAUGCACAUGGUCCCAUUCAAUGAUGACGACAACCUUGAAGAUGUGCUGGAGCGCGCUAGGAACCAAAGAUCGAUGCUAACAGAAUUCUUUAGAAUGAACAACGAAGAUCCAAACGCUCGAAAAUACUUAUACAAGGAGUUUCCAGAACAUUAUACAUGGAACAAGUCCAAAAAAGUUUGGUCUACUAGAAAAAGAAGUUACCAGAUUGGAAGAUUGGUGUAUGCAUACCCGUCUGAGGGUGAAAGAUUCUAUCUUCGAGUUCUUCUAAAUCAUGUUCGAGGUCCAACAUCAUUCAUAUCAAUCAGAACAGUUCGUGGUGUGGUGAGUCCUACUUUUAGAGAAUACUGUGAGAAACUUGGUCUUGUUGAAACAGAUAGGUCACUCGACAAUGCACUUAGCGAAGCAGUAGCUUUUCAGAUGCCAUGUGCUCUCAUAAGAAUGUUUGCCACUAUUAUGGUUUUCUGCGAGUACACAAACGUCCGUGCCCUCUGGGACAAACAUUUUGAAUCAAUGGCUGAGAACUAUGUGCGUGUUCGUGGAAAUUCUUCAAGUA